AUAGUAAUAACACUAAUGAGUAAAAUUGAACAAAGUGAUAAGUAUGACAGCUGUUCUAAGCACAGACUUAUCCUUUUAAUUCUUCUCAUAGGAAUCUGUCUGCUAUUCAGGAUAGAGAAAUUUGCUGCUAUUCAAUUUCUUGCAAAGAAAAGGAUAAUAUAGAUAUCACACUUCAGUGGCUUAUUCAGCAUUCAAAAUCUAGAAGAA
rnacentral:sRNA from 1 species